AUUUUUAUAGUUUAAUUUAAAACAUAACAUUGAAAAUGUUAUAAUAAAAAAAUAAUUUUUUUUAAAAAUA
rnacentral:tRNA from 1 species